UCUUCCGUAGUAUAGUGGUCAGUAUGCAAGCUUGUCACGCUUGAGACCCGGGUUCAAUUCCCGGCGGGAGAG
rfam:Fusarium verticillioides 7600 chromosome 1, whole genome shotgun sequence.